AUUGAACGCUGGCGGAAUGCUUUACACAUGCAAGUCGAGCGGCAGCGCGGGGGCAACCCUGGCGGCGAGCGGCGAACGGGUGAGUAACAUAUCGGAACGUACCCAUUGGUGGGGGAUAACACAUCGAAAGAUGUGCUAAUACCGCAUACGACCUGAGGGUGAAAGGGGGGGAUCGCAAGACCUCUCGCCGUUGGAGCGGCCGAUAUCGGAUUAGCUAGUUGGUGAGGUAAAGGCUCACCAAGGCGACGAUCCGUAGCUGGUCUGAGAGGACGACCAGCCACACUGGAACUGAGACACGGUCCAGACUCCUACGGGAGGCAGCAGUGGGGAAUUUUGGACAAUGGGGGCAACCCUGAUCCAGCCAUUCCGCGUGAGUGAAGGAGGCCUUCGGGUUGUAAAGCUCUUUCGGCAGGAACGAAACGGUGGCUAUUAAUACUAGCUACUAAUGACGGUACCUGAAGAAGAAGCACCGGCUAACUACGUGCCAGCCGCCGCCGUAAAAC
rnacentral:rRNA from 1 species